CUUUACAAAGAGUUUCAGUGCAGUCAUGCCUUAAGCUUUGCUGGGCACAGGCAAUUGGUUAAUUAUCACCAGGAAAGUUUUCACCAAAUAAACUACUUGGGGUCAGACUCACCAAGUUUGGACCAACUUUGGCUACUUAACUGUGUUGAACUGAACAACCUUCUUGGCUCCUCCAGAACGUUACUCUGCUGACCUUAGUGACCUCAGACACUUCCCCAACCCCAAACUUGUACCGAGACAAGACAAACCAGUCAACUCUGCUUCUUACUUCUUAGGCGUCAGAUGCCAUUCACAAGCAAACGGAGGAGCUACACACUAGUGCAAUCUAUUUGCUGUAUGACAUUGUAUUAGUCAGGGUUCUAUAGGGUAGCAACUUAUAGAAUGAAUAUAUAUAUAACAUUAAUAGACUAUUAUAUAUAAUAUAAAUAUUUCUGUAUAUAAGUAAUUGUAUAAAUAUAUAUUAAUAUAGAAUAUAUAAUAAAGACCCAAGGUCUGGGCUCGAAGUG
rnacentral:lncRNA from 1 species